rnacentral:rRNA from 1 species
GCCAGACUCCUACGGGAGGCAGCAGUGGGGAAUAUUGCACAAUGGGGGAAACCCUGAUGCAGCGACGCCGCGUGAGUGAAGAAGUAUUUCGGUAUGUAAAGCUCUAUCAGCAGGAAAGAAAAUGACGGUACCUGACUAAGAAGCCCCGGCUAACUACGUGCCAGCAGCCGCGGUAAUACGUAGGGGGCAAGCGUUAUCCGGAUUUACUGGGUGUAAAGGGAGCGUAGACGGCGAAGCAAGUCUGAAGUGAAAGGCGGGGGCUCAACCCCCGGACUGCUUUGGAAACUGUUUGACUGGAGUGCAGGAGAGGUAAGUGGAAUUCCUAGUGUAGCGGUGAAAUGCGUAGAUAUUAGGAGGAACACCGGUGGCGAAGGCGGCCUGCUGGACUGCGACUGACGUUGAGGCCCGAAAGCGUGGGGAGCAAACAGGAUUAGAUACCCUCGUA